CCUACGGGUGGCAGCAGUAGGGAAUAUUGCACAAUGGGGGAAACCCUGAUGCAGCAACGCCGCGUGAGUGAAGAAGUUUUUCGGAAUGUAAAGCUCUAUUGUCAGGGAAGAAAAUGACAGUACCUAACUAAGAAGCCCCGGCUAACUACGUGCCAGCAGCCGCGGUAAUACGGAGGGGGCAAGCGUUAGCCGGAUUUACUGGGUGUAAAGGGAGCGUAGGCGGCUGAGUAAGUCAGAAGUGAAAGCCCGUGGCUCAACCGCGGGACUGCAUUUGAAACUGUGUAGCUAGAGUGCAGGAGAGGUAAGUGGAAUUCCUAGUGUAGCGGUGAAAUGCGUAGAUAUUAGGAGGAACACCGGUGGCGAAGGCGGCUUACUGGACUGUAACUGACGCUGAGGCUCGAAAGCGUGGGGAGCAAACAGGAUUAGAUACCCCUGUAGUC
rnacentral:rRNA from 1 species